CGAGAGUAAACUAAAUUACAGUCGCUGCAGUCCAAUUACCGUAAUGUGUGUAUUAUUAGAAUGUAAAUGUAGGACUCUGACGUCAUGGUGUGGGCGGGGCGAGACACCGUCAUUUCAGCUCGAAGACUGAACCGUUUCCAGUAAGAGGUUUGUUUCGAAACAUUUCCGGGUUUUUUUUUUUUUUUUUUUUUUUUUUUUAAAGUCUCUUUUCUCCUUUUCUGUUUUUCUCUCGGAAAUGCCCACUUCCGACUCAGUGGGAGGAAACAAGAGAACCUGGACGAAACCCACACGAACACAGGGAGAACAUACGAAACAGCACACAGACAGUAACCCAAGAUGAGGAUCAAACCCAGAAUCCUGGAACUGUGAGGUGCUGUGAGGUAAAUAAUUUUGGAAACUGCCGGCUCCCCCACUAAAGUCCUCUGUGACAGGCUCAAGACACCCCAAGACCCUGUGUAGAGUAAGCGGUACAGAAAAUGGAUAGAUAAUUUUGAAAACUAUAUUGACACAUCACUAUUAUGGGCUUUAUUUUUUGUGGAUUUGUGACGUUGUUAAGUUUAUAAAGAUUACUACACUACAAAAUGCGGAAUGUUCAAGUGAGUGAACACUUUGCAAAAUUUAUAUGUUAUUGGUCACUAAACUGUUUGGGGUUUUUUUUGGUCCAGCCCAUCUGUCAUUGGAUUAAGUGUAAUGUGGCUCAUUACCUAAAGUGGGUUUAACAUCCCUGAUUUAGAGUGCUCAAUGUAACUUGGCCAGGAUAGACCGUUGAGGGCGCUGUUUGAGAGGGUGCUUGGACCCCGUCACAUACAGUUAUAUUAUACUGAUGUUUAAAACCUUAUUUGUCUAAUAACUUGAUUGUUAAAAAUGCCUGUUGCUUUUUUUUUUUUCUUUUUUUUGUUUGUUUUUUAAAGUUUAUUUCCUCAUUUAAAACUCAAUAAAAAGGAAGUACAUGUAAUUUCAACUAACUCAUUGUAAUCAACCUGAGAAGGAUGCUUUUAACAACACAGACUGUUUCAAAUCUAUAUUCUAACACAGUGUCAUGAUUGUACAUGAUUUGGGUUCUGAAAAUGUGAACAUUUCAAGAAUUAAAAAAAUGUAGAAUGGCUUAAAUGUAUCUAUUUACCUCAAAAGGUGUGUGGGCUCACUGAUCUUUAAUGUUUGGGACUGAUUUAUUGGAUGAUGAGAAAUUGGAUGAAUCAUCUGCUGCCUACAUCUGGUGAACAGAGCUUUCAGUCAGGUCGUCUGUAAAAACUGUGGGAAAGUCCAAGAAAUACAAUCCAUAAGCCUCUACAACUGACAAAAAAAAAAGGUUUCAUGGAUCACUAAGAUAUUUUAAAGAACCAGAAUUGAAAUUGACUUUAACAGUAUAAUGUAAAUCUUACAAAGCUG
ensembl:lncRNA